GGGGCAUUAGCUCAGCUGGUAGAGCGCUUGAAUGGCAUUCAAGAGGUCAGCGGUUCAAAUCCGCUAUGCUCCACCA
rnacentral:tRNA from 1 species